AUUGAACGCUGGCGGCAGGCCUAACACAUGCAAGUCGAGCGAGCGGCGGACGGGUGAGUAAUGUAUGGGGACUGCCCGACAGAGGGGGAUAACUACUGGAAACGGUAGCUAAUACCGCAUACUAUCCGACAACCUAUAUGGGAUUAGCUAGUAGGUGAGGGAAUGGCUCACCUAGGCGACUAUCCCUAGCUGGGCUGAGAGGAUGAUGGGCCACACUGGAACUGAGACACGGCCCAGACUCCUAGGGAGGCAGCAGUGGGUGAUAUUGCACAAUGGGCGCAAGCCUGAUGCAGCCAUGCCGCGUGUAUGAAGAAGGCCCUAGGGUUGUAAAAUACUUUCAGUCGGGAGGCGUUACCGACAGAAGAAGCACCUGCUAACUCCGUGCCAGCAGCCGCGGUAAUUC
rnacentral:rRNA from 1 species